rnacentral:rRNA from 1 species
UGAGGAAUAUUGGUCAAUGGGCGGAAGCCCGAACCAGCCAAGUCGCGUGAGGGAAGAAGGCCCUGCGGGUCGCAGACCUCUUUGGACGGGGAGCAAGGCCGCGGACGUGUCCGCGGAAGGAGAGUACCCGUAGAACAAGCAUCGGCUAACUCCGUGCC